rnacentral:rRNA from 1 species
GAUGAACGCUGGCGGCGUGCCUAAUACAUGCAAGUCGAGCGAACGGACGAGAAGCUUGCUUCUCUGAUGUUAGCGGCGGCCGGGUGAUUAACACGUGGAUAACCUACUUUUAAGAUGGGGAUAAUUUCGGGAAACCGGAGUUAAUACCGGUUAAUAUUUUGAACCCCAUGGUUCAAAAUUGAAAAAGGUCUUGUUUGUCACUUAUGGAUGGAUCCGCGCUGCAUUAGCUAGUUGGUAAGGUAACGGCUUACCAAGGCAACGAGGCAUAGCCGACCUGAGAGGGUGAUCGGCCACACUGGAACUGAGACACGGUCCAGACUCCUACGGGAGGCAGCAGUAGGGAAUCUUCCGCAAUGGGCGAAAGCCUGACGGAGCAACGCCGCGUGAGUGAUGAAGGUCUUCGGAUCGUAAAACUCUGUUAUUAGGGAAGAACAUAUGUGUAAGUAACUGUGCACAUCUUGACGGUACCUAACCAGAAAGCCACGGCUAACUACGUG